rnacentral:lncRNA from 1 species
GAGGAGGUGAUGGAGGUGGAGUAAUAUGUUUUCUACAUGGAGAUGGACGACUAGGGAGUGGAGGGGGAGGGGGAGCUACAAAAGGUGGUUCUCUAGAAAAAGGUGGAGGUGGUGGGGAAGGUGGAUUUUCAUAAUGUUCUCUUGGAGAAGGUGGAGUUAAAGAUAAACAUGGAGAUGGUACAAGUGUUGCAUGACAAGGUGGUGGCGGCGGCGGUGGUGGAGGAGAUGGAGGUUUCACAUGUUCUCUAGGCCACGACAAUUUUUGUGGUGAUGGAGGAAUUGGUAUGCCUUCAUGUUCU